AAGAUUUUAAGUUAAAAAAAACUGAGAGUUUUCAAAGCUUUAAAUGGUAUCAGAUUUAUCAAAUCUUG
rnacentral:tRNA from 1 species